UGUUUUGAAAAAAACAACAACAUAUACUUGGAUCGAUACAGAGAAGAUUAGCAUGGCCCCUACGCGAAGGA
rnacentral:snRNA from 1 species